UGGAGUUUUACCCCCUGCUCCUCUCCUGUUGGAUCCCUGUGGUGCCAGGCAGGAAUGGGCUGCUUGGGGACCCAGUGAGCUCCCAGGACCUUUCUGCUGCUUCCUCUACCCCUGUAUUUCACUCGGCUCUCCAAAUUGACUCAGCUGCAGGUCUGCAAAUGGAGGGGCUACGUGGCAGGGAAUGUGAGCAGGAUCUGGUUGCUGAGAGCAGCCCCAGCUGACAACCAGCGAGGAGGUGGAAAUCCUAGUCCUGCAACUGCAACCAAGGGAAUUCUGCUAACAACAAGCAAAAACUGAAAAGUUGAUUUUUCUCUAGAGCCUCCAGACAAGAACUCAGCCCAAGUGACACCCUGAUUUUGGCCUUGAGUUCAUCCUACACAGAGAACCCCACCUUGCCAUGCUGGACUUUGACUUACAGAACUGUGGGCUAAUAAGUGGGUGCUGUUUUAAGCCUCUAAAUUUGUGGUAACUUGUUACCCAGCAAUAGAUAAUGAAUGCAUUUCUCAAAUCAAAACAGUAAACAGAGGAAACUAUUUUGGCAGGAACAGUGAAGAAUGAAUGCAAGGAGGUAGAGCCGCAUGUAGGAAACCUACUGAAAUCAUCUGGGGUUUCCAUGCAUAAUAAGAACCAGUGGCAAACGGCAACAUAGUUCAGACCUGCACAUUUUGAUACUAAUCAUAUUACUGAGUUGGAGAAGAAAGGUUUUCAACACAGAAGAUGUAUAAAAAUCACAUGGAAAGGGAUAUCAUCUUCAUAACUUCCAAAGCUCAGCCCUUAUGCAGUAUUGGUGGCAACACCAGAAAUGAAUAACGGAUUUAUAAUUGUAUUUGUAACUCAGCCAAGUGAGUAUAAAUUUUUUGGCUACACAGAUAUAUAUAUAUGUGUGUAUAAUAUAUAUGUGUGUGUAUAUAUGUGUGUAUAUAUGGGUGUGUGUGUAUAUAUAUUUUAUAUAUAUAUAUGUUUUUGAUAGAUAUUUACUAAUGAUGGGACAAAUAUGUAAGAAGAACCUUGAGACUUACUGCCAGAUUCCUAGCUCAGCAAAUGGUCCCAUGCAUGUGGGUUAAGAAAUCAGAGGUGAUAGGAUAAGCUAAUUUUUAUGGUUCUUGGUUUUCACAUUAGCCCCUCUAUCAAUUGUUUUCUGGUUUUGUUUUUAUUUCUAUUGAGUGAUCUUGAAGUAUUUUCACCAGCUAGAGUCUGAUAGAUUAAAUGACAGACAAAUAGACAGGCAGAGGCAGCUUUGUUGUUUACUAAAGAGUUGUAUCUGAUUAUGUACAGCUUUCUACAUGUGAAUCUUCAAGCCUCAUUUUAAAGAAUAAUGUGAAGCUAUCAUUCACAAAAAGUUUUAUUAAUAGGUAUCAUUUUUUAAAGCAGUUAUAGAUUCAUAGCAAAAUUGGGUGGAAAGUGCAGAGAUUUUCUAUAUAUCCCUGCCCCCACCCAUGCACAGCCUCCCCCACUAUCAACAUCCUCCACCAGAAUGGUUCUAACAGUUCUAACAUUUGUUAGAACUGAUGAACCUACAUUGACACAUCAUUAUCAACCAAGGUUUAUAGUUUAGACUGGGUGUUGUGCAUUCUAUGAGUUUGGACAAAUGUAAUGACAUAUGUCCACCACUGUAGUAUCAUAAAGAACAGUUUCACUGCCCUAAAUAUCCUCUGUGCUCCACAUGGUGCUCCUCCAAACCCCUAGCACCCAUGACUUUUUUGUACAGUCUCCAUAGUUUCACCUUUUCAAGAAUUUCAUCUAAUUGGAAUCAUACAGCUUCUUUUACUUAGUAAUAUGCAUGUCAGUUCCCUCCAUGUCUUUUCAUGGCUUCAUAGCUCAUUUCUUUUUAGC
rnacentral:lncRNA from 10 species